GCCGGUGUAGGCUCAAUUGGUAGAGCAACUGACUUGUAAUCAGUAGGUUGGGGGUUCAAGUCCUCUUGCCGGCA
rnacentral:tRNA from 1 species